GUAGGGAAUUUUCGGCAAUGGGGGGAACCCUGACCGAGCAACGCCGCGUGAAGGAAGAAGGAAUUCGUUCUGUAAACUUCUGUUAUAAAGGAAGAAAGACGGAUGGAGGAAAUGACAUCCGAGUGACGGUACUUUAUGAGAAAGCCACGGCUAACUACGUGCCAGCAGCCGCGGUAAUACGUAGGUGGCAAGCGUUAUCCGGAAUUAUUGGGCGUAAAGAGGGAGCAGGCGGCAGCAAAGGUCUGUGGUGAAAGACUGAAGCUUAACUUCAGUAAGCCAUAGAAACCGGGCAGCUAGAGUGCAGGAGAGGAUCGUGGAAUUCCAUGUGUAGCGGUGAAAUGCGUAGAUAUAUGGAGGAACACCAGUGGCGAAGGCGACGAUCUGGCCUGCAACUGACGCUCAGUCCCGAAAGCGUGGGGAGCAAAUAGGA
rnacentral:rRNA from 1 species